GACGAACGCUGGCGGCGUGCCUAAUACAUGCAAGUAGAACGCUGAAGAGAGGAGCUUGCUCUUCUUGGAUGAGUUGCGAACGGGUGAGUAACGCGUAGGUAACCUGCCUUGUAGCGGGGGAUAACUAUUGGAAACGAUAGCUAAUACCGCAUAACAAUGGAUGACCCAUGUCAUUUAUUUGAAAGGGGCAAAUGCUCCACUACAAGAUGGACCUGCGUUGUAUUAGCUAGUAGGUGAGGUAACGGCUCACCUAGGCGACGAUACAUAGCCGACCUGAGAGGGUGAUCGGCCACACUGGGACUGAGACACGGCCCAGACUCCUACGGGAGGCAGCAGUAGGGAAUCUUCGGCAAUGGGGGCAACCCUGACCGAGCAACGCCGCGUGAGUGAAGAAGGUUUUCGGAUCGUAAAGCUCUGUUGUAAGUCAAGAACGAGUGUGAGAGUGGAAAGUUCACACUGUGACGGUAGCUCUACCAGAAA
rnacentral:rRNA from 1 species